UACAGAGGGGGCAAGCGUUGUUCGGAAUUACUGGGCGUAAAGGGCGCGUAGGCGGCCUGUUAAGUCGAACGUGAAAUCCCCAGGCUCAACCUGGGAACUGCGUCCGAUACUGGCAGGCUUGAAUCCGGGAGAGGGAUGCGGAAUUCCAGGUGUAGCGGUGAAAUGCGUAGAUAUCGUAAGGAAGACCAGUGGCGAAGGCGGGUCUCUGGACAGUUCCUGACGCUGAGGCACGAAGGCCAGGGGAGCAAACGGG
rnacentral:rRNA from 1 species